CCCUGCAUUCGAAAGUGAUGGUGGGCUGCCCGCGCCCUGGUCAUUGAUAGUGCAGGGAGAGCAGCUGCUGGAAGCAUUUCCCCGCGUUUGGAGGGUGCACCCCAUCCCUUGCAAACCCUGGAGCUUUCACACA